AAAAUUAGAGUUCUGGACUUACGAAGAAGAAAAAGUCCAGGGUUUUUAAUGGAGUCUACUAAAGGGCUAUAUCCUAGAAGUAAUAAGGAAAAAUAAAAACUAGACCAACCCUCAAAAGAUUAAAAAUCUGCCUCAAAUCAGUUCAAUUACUGAAUAGAUUAAGGUAGUCUGCCUCAACAGUAACUGCCAGAUUCUCAUUGUUCAAUUCUCACCUACGAGUGAGAAUAUGCGGUGUUUGGUUUUUUGUCCUUGUGAUAGUUUGCUCAGAAUGAUGGUUCUUAUCAGCUUAAGGAGAUUUUGGGCUGAGACGAUGGGGUUUUCUAGAUAAACAAUCAUGUCAUCUGCAGACAGGGACAAUUUGACUUCCUCUUUUCCUAAUUGAAUACCCUUUAUUUCUUUCUCCUGCCUGAUUGCCCUGGCCAGAACUUCCAACACUAUGUUGAAUAGGAGUGGUGAGAGAGGGCAUCCCUGUCUUGUGCCAGUUUUCAAAGGGAAUGCU
rnacentral:lncRNA from 1 species